rnacentral:rRNA from 1 species
CCUACGGGUGGCAGCAGUGAGGAAUAUUGGUCAAUGGACGAGAGUCUGAACCAGCCAAGUAGCGUGAAGGAUGACUGCCCUAUGGGUUGUAAACUUCUUUUAUAUGGGAAUAAAAUGUUCCACGUGUGGGAUUUUGUAUGUACCAUAUGAAUAAGGAUCGGCUAACUCCGUGCCAGCAGCCGCGGUAAUACGGAGGAUCCGAGCGUUAUCCGGAUUUAUUGGGUUUAAAGGGAGCGUAGGUGGAUUGUUAAGUCAGUUGUGAAAGUUUGCGGCUCAACCGUAAAAUUGCAGUUGAAACUGGCAGUCUUGAGUACAGUAGAGGUGGGCGGAAUUCGUGGUGUAGCGGUGAAAUGCUUAGAUAUCACGAAGAACUCCGAUUGCGAAGGCAGUUCACUGGACUGCAACUGACACUGAGGCUCGAAAGUGUGGGUAUCAAACAGGAUUAGAUACCCGUGAAGUC